UUUGAUCCUGGCUCAGGACGAACGCUGGCGGCGUGCCUAAUACAUGCAAGUCGAACGCGUCUCCGUUAAUGAUUUUAGGUGCUUGCACUUGAAAGAUUUAACAUUGAGACGAGUGGCGAACUGGUGAGUAACACGUGGGUAACCUGCCCUUGAAGUAGGGGAUAACACUUGGAAACAGGUGCUAAUACCGUAUAACAACCAAAACCACCUGGUUUUGGUUUAAAAGACGGCUUCGGCUGUCACUUUAGGAUGGACCCGCGGCGUAUUAGCUUGUUGGUAAGGUAACGGCCUACCAAGGCGAUGAUACGUAGCCGACCUGAGAGGGUAAUCGGCCACAUUGGGACUGAGACACGGCCCAAACUCCUACGGGAGGCAGCAGUAGGGAAUCUUCCACAAUGGACGAAAGUCUGAUGGAGCAACGCCGCGUGAGUGAUGAAGGGUUUCGGCUCGUAAAACUCUGUUGUUGGAGAAGAACAGGUGUCAGAGUAACUGUUGACAUCUUGACGGUAUCCAACCAGAAAGCCACGGCUAACUACGUGCCAGCAGCCGCGGUAAUACGUAGGUGGCAAGCGUUGUCCGGAUUUAUUGGGCGUAAAGCGA
rnacentral:rRNA from 1 species